UUCCGGUUGAUCCUGCCGGAGGCCAUUGCUAUCGGGGUCCGAUUUAGCCAUGCUAGUUGUACGAGUUCACACUCGUAGCAAAUAGCUCCGUAACACGUGGCCAAACUACCCUACAGAGAACGAUAACCUCGGGAAACUGAGGCUAAUAGUUCAUACCCGUCCCAUGUUGGAAUACAGGGACGCGCAAACGUUCCGACGCUGUAGGACGUGGCUGCGGCCGAUUAGGUAGACGGUGGGGUAACGGCCCACCGUGCCGAUAAUCGGUACGGGUUGUGAGAGCAAGAACCCGGAGACGGAAUCUGAGACAAGAUUCCGGGCCCUACGGGGCGCAGCAGGCGCGAAACCUUUACACUGCACGCAAGUGCGAUAAGGGGACCCCGAGUGCGAGGGCAUACAGUCCUCGCUUUUCACUACCGUAAGGUGGUAGUGGAAUAAGAGCUGGGCAAGACCGGUGCCAGCCGCCGCGGUAAUACCGGCAGCUCGAGUGAUGGCCGAUCUUAUUGGGCCUAAAGCGUCCGUAGCCGGCCACACAAGUCCAUCGGGAAAUCCGCCAGCCCAACUGGCGGGCGUCCGGUGGAAACUGUGUGGCUCGGGAUCGGAAGACCCAACGGGUACGUCUUGGGUAGGAGUGAAAUCCUGUAAUCCUGGACGGACCACCGAUAGCGAAAGCACGUUGGGAAGACGAAUCCGACGGUGAGGGACGAAAGCCAGGGUCUCGAACCGGAUUAGAUACCCGGGUAGUCCUGGCCGUAAACGAUGUCUGCUAGGUGUGGCUCCCACUACGAGUGGGUGCUGUGCCGUAGGGAAGCCGCUAAGCAGACCGCCUGGGAAGUACGUCCGCAAGGAUGAAACUUAAAGGAAUUGGCGGGGGAGCACUACAACCGGAGGAGCCUGCGGUUUAAUUGGACUCAACGCCGGACAUCUCACCAGCAUCGACAACGGUAAUGACGGUCAGGUUGAUGACCUUUCCAGAGCCGUUGAGAGGAGGUGCAUGGCCGCCGUCAGCUCGUACCGUGAGGCGUCCUGUUAAGUCAGGCAACGAGCGAGACCCGCACUCCUAAUUGCCAGCACCGGCUUCGGCCGGGUGGGUACAUUAGGAGGACUGCCGUGGCUAACACGGAGGAAGGAACGGGCAACGGUAGGUCAGUAUGCCCCGAAUGUGCU
rnacentral:rRNA from 1 species